rnacentral:lncRNA from 1 species
GGAAAGUACAGCACAGGGACACAAGGGACGCCUAAGUGACAGAACAUCUGCCAUAUCUGCAACGCCUGGGACUUAAAACAAAGACUACAGUAGAAGCCGGGUCUCCCAACCUGUCUAUGAGGUUCCUGGCCUGCUUGAGUUCCUGCCCUCACUGCCUUUGAAGAGGAACUGUGAUGUGGAACUGUGAGUGAAAUGAACCCUUUGCUCCCAGGUCGUUUUUGAUCAUUGUGUUUCGUCUAAGCAAUAGAAACCACAACUAAGCCAGGGUUCCUCUGUGUAGCGCAGGCUGUCCUUGAACUCAAGAGAUCUGUCUUCGUCUGCCUUCCAAGUGCAGAAACUAAAGGUAUGCACCACUGUACCUGGCUCAAGGAUGUGUUGAGGGAGGAAGUGCCUUUUCAAAGAGAAAUUCAGAGCCGCAAGGAGAGAGCUGCAGCGUGGACCCACAAGCGUAGUGCACUUGGACGGAAUCAUCCUCAUAGAGCACCAUUCGCACCUCAGCUGCCAUUCCCAUGCCUGGCUACGCCGCCCUUCUCAGCAUGGACUGUGGGGGAAUGGGGACACAGCAGCACAGGCAGUGUGCUUAAGGCUCAGGAGUUCUGUCAAGCUAAACACAUGUAUUUCCUAAGAACACAGGGCAACACACCCGCCACCGUGUAUCCUCUUACCUUUAGGAUCUAAAAUAAACUUCCUUCACAAACUGCCUUGAGGAAUCCCGAGGACUUUACUCAGACACAGUCAAAACCUAACCUGGGAGGCGCGGACAGCUCACAAAAUCACAAACAAACAUUUUGUGGUUUACUGUUCCUCAAGUUUAAAUUUGUAUCUGAUAUGCUCAGCAUCUCAUUUCAGAUAAACCAAUUAUACUUUGGUAAGAAAAAUAUAAGCAAUUUGGGCAGGCAUGAUGGUUCAGCACGUGAAGAUUCUUGGCAUGCAGGUCUGAUGAACUGAACUGCAUCUCUGGAAUUCACCGUGGAAAAGUGAGAACAAAGUUGUAGCAAAAAUAUGCAUGCCCGCACUCAUACAUCAUACAUACAUAGAGUAAUAAUAAUACAUAAAAAUAAAAUAAAAACACAGCAAAUCAGUUUUAACACAUGCAAACCACAGGCCAAAAGAAAAGACCAUGAAAAUAUACAAAUAUCAGAAUACACUGCUCCCCAGUCCGGAACUAAGCAAGUAGUUAAUCCAGUCUCUUCAAUGUAUUCUCACUUCUUCUAUUUCAUUUCUUACCACCAAAAUGCCUGUUUUUACUAUGCUUUCCAUAACUGUGCGGUGGUGGUGGAGGGCUUCGCUUAUGCGCCACUCUUUGCUAGGCAGAUGCCUAGGGAUGUCUGUUAUCUGUAAAAUGAGCGGGUUACACAGGACUGCUGUAGGUUUAAGUGAGAAAAUACCCAUGACAGUGCCUAGCACUACGAAAGCUGCCUUGUAAGGUCCCAGUAAAUCUUGUGAAUGUCAAUUCUUUUCUAACACAAACCCUGUCUCCUGUAUUUUCAGUCUCACCAGUCCAAAACAACAACAGAACACUGUUCAGAGACAAUACUACUGAGUUCAUGUCAAUUUCCUAUCAAUAAAGUACAGUAAACCCCUCCUUGCUAGCACCUCUUACUAAUCUUCAUGCUAUUACGACCUGGCUUUCUCCUCUGCCUUUCCACUGGCAUUAAUCCAUCCACAAUGGCCAUCAAUGUCUUUGUACUAAUAUCUUAAGACCUCAUCCUACUAGACCUACUUGGUCUGUGACUAAGUUGUAGAUUGUCCCCUCUCCCAAACUCUUCCCUCCAUCCUCCUCCAACCCCACUUUAGGUUAGUGUGAUGGUUUGUAUAUCCUUGGACCAGGGAGUGGCACCAUCUGAAGGUGUGGCCUUGUUGGAAUAGGUAUGACCUGGUUGGAAUGGGUGUGUCACUGUGGGUGUGGGUAUAAGAUCCUCACCCUAGUUGCCUGGAGGUCAGUCUUCCACUAGCAGCCUUUGGAUGAAGACAUAGAACUCUCAGCUCCUCCUGCGCCAUGCCUGCCUGGAUACUGCCAUGCUCCCACCUUGAUGAUAAUGGCCUGAACCUGUAAGCCAGCCCCAAUUAAAUGUUGUUUUUAUAAGA